GUAGGUGGCAAGCGUUGUCCGGAAUUAUUGGGCGUAAAGCGCGCGCAGGCGGUCCUUUAAGUCUGAUGUGAAAGCCCACGGCUCAACCGUGGAGGGUCAUUGGAAACUGGGGGACUUGAGUACAGAAGAGGAAAGCGGAAUUCCAAGUGUAGCGGUGAAAUGCGUAGAGAUUUGGAGGAACACCAGUGGCGAAGGCGGCUUUCUGGCCUGUAACUGACGCUGAGGCGCGAAAGCGUGGGGAGCAAACAGGGAUUAGAUACCCUGGUAGUCCACGCCGUAAACGAUGAGUGCUAAGUGUUAGGGGGUUUCCCGCCCCUUAGUGCUGCAGCUAACGCAUUAAGCACUCCGCCUGGGGAGUACGGCCGCAAGGCUG
rnacentral:rRNA from 1 species